UUUUUAAAGUUACAUACAAUUGUAAAUCUCACUUAUAUAAGGUAAUUCACAUCCGUCUACUUCAAUCAAUUAUAACUAUACAUACACAAUAUAACAAUAAUAACAAACAACAAAUAUAUAGUACAAUUUUUAAAAGGUUAAUAGUUCCGGAUUUGUCCAUUCUUUGUUUCUGCAGCAAAAUAUAUAGUAAGUUGUUCUGAUCGCAAUCGUCGUCAUUCGUUUAAAGCAGUAUUUUUGGUGGUUUUUAUCGAAGCCAAGAUCAUUAA